UACGUAGGGCGCAAGCGUUGUCCGGAAUUAUUGGGCGUAAAGAGCUCGUAGGCGGCUUGUCACGUCGGUUGUGAAAGCCCGGGGCUUAACCCCGGGUCUGCAGUCGAUACGGGCAGGCUAGAGUGUGGUAGGGGAGAUCGGAAUUCCUGGUGUAGCGGUGAAAUGCGCAGAUAUCAGGAGGAACACCGGUGGCGAAGGCAGCUCUCUGGGACGGUACUGACGCUGAGACGCGAAAGCGUGGGGGAGCGAAACAGGG
rnacentral:rRNA from 1 species